rnacentral:rRNA from 1 species
UACGAAGGGGGCUAGCGUUGUUCGGAUUUACUGGGCGUAAAGCGCACGUAGGCGGAUCGUUAAGUCGGGGGUGAAAUCCUGGAGCUCAACUCCAGAACUGCCUUCGAUACUGGCGAUCUUGAGUCCGGAAGAGGUGAGUGGAACUCCUAGUGUAGAGGUGGAAUGCGCAGAUAUCGGGAGGAACACCCGUGGCGAAGGCGGCACUCUGGGACGGUACUGACGCUGAGACGCGAAAGCGUGGGGAGCAAACAGG